UGACCCUUCUUAAGCCGAGGGUCACCUAGCCAACUGACGUUGUUAGUGAAUGUUAAUUGUUCACACUUAUAUACCGCCAAUCACCUUAUUGUGUUUGGCGUUUUUUUU
rnacentral:sRNA from 1 species